CAGAACAGUAUCUCGCACCCACCUUCCAUUGGGGGCGAUUUUGGAGUUCCAGAUUUCUCAAAAUACAAGGGAGGAGGUUUUGAUCUUCAUUUCUAGGAAGGAGGUUGCUAAAAGAGGUUAGUUUAUGUCCCUAUUGCCUCAAUUUGCUCAUUCUAGCUCAAUUUGAGCCACUUUUUGGAUCUAGGGUUUCACCAUGAGGGAGAGAAGAAUUGCUAGCUUCUUGUCUUCAUUUGUUGAUAUGGUUAGAUGGGGUUAUUUAAUAUGGUUGGAUAAUGUCUCUCAACAUGUUUGCUUCUCAAUUUAGCUAGUUUUUAUAAGAUUAAACCAAUGGUGUGUUCUUGUAUAUUUAUGUAGAGAGAUAAUUGUUGAUUUUUUUAAUUAUAUGGUAGUUAGGUUUUUUAUUGUCACCUUCCACAUCAUCUAUCUAUUUAUAAUGAAUGUUGUAUUUAUAUAGUUAUGCUAUACUUAGGUUUUCUAAUUUAUGUCUCUCUCUCUUUAUAAAUUUUCAAUUUAUUUAUCCACAUGUAUGUAUGUUCCAUGAGUGAGAGAGAAGAAUAGCUAGCUUCUUGUCUUUAUUUGUUGAUAUGGUUAGAUGGGGUUGCUUAAUAUGGUUGGAUAAUGCCUCUCAACAUGUUUGCUUCUCAAUUUAGCUAGUUUUUACAAGAUUAAACUAGCUGUUGUGUUCUUGUAUAUUUGUGUAGAGAGAUAAUUGUUGAUUUUUUAUUUUUUUGAUUAUAUAGCAGUUAGGUUUUUUAUUAUCACCUUCCACAUCAUCUAUCUAUUUAUAAUGAAUGAUGUAUUUAUAUAGUUAUGCUAUACUUAGAUUAUUUUUUAAUUAUGUAACUUAGGUUUUUUCCUUUAAUCUCAAGCAUAACCAUAAACCCUAG
rnacentral:lncRNA from 1 species